rnacentral:misc_RNA from 1 species
GAAAUGCGAUACGUAAUGUGAAUUGCAGAAUUCAGUGAAUCAUCGAAUCUUUGAACGCACCUUGCGCUCCUUGGUAUUCCUUGGAGCAUGCCUGUUUGAGUAUCAUGAAAUCUUCAAAGUAAAUCUUUUGUUAACUCAAUUGGUUUCUACUUUGGUAUUGGAGGUCUUUGCAGCUUCACACCUGCUCCUCUUUGUUCAUUAGCUGGAUCUCACUGUUAUGCUUGGUUCCACUCGGCGUGAUAAGUUAUCUAUCGCUGAGGACACUGUAAAAGGUGGCCAAGGUAAAUGCAGAUGAACCGCUUCUAAUAGUCCAUUGACUUGGACAAUACUUUUAUGAUCUGAUCUCAAAUCAGGUAGGACUACCCGCUGAACUUAAGC